ACACUUACCUGACAGGUGGCUUUCCCAGGGCUAGGCUUAUCUAUUGCUCUCCUGAUGUGCUGGCCUCUGAAAUUUCCCCAAAUGUAGGAAACUCGACUGCAAACUUUGUGGUAGUGGAGGACUAUAUUCUUCAUGCUUUCCC
rnacentral:snRNA from 1 species